CCAGAGGAGCAGAGCAUGGAGACUCUGAAUGGCUGCCAUUUGGCUAAAUUCAAAUCCACCAGUGAUAAUGACCUGUUGUCACAGGUUCCCGAAGAUUCUGCUUACCUGCCUCCAUUCUCCUUAGUGAAGCUAGUGUCCCCAUUUGGGCAUUCCUUGGUGGCCACUUCUCUCUAAGCAGAGACAGAACAAGAGUGUUUUAAGCUUUUAAAGAGAUACAGCAUCCUGCCUUUCCUCUCUGAGACCAUGCAUUAAAAAGUGAGUGUCUUU